rnacentral:rRNA from 1 species
GACGUAGGGCGCGAGCGUUGUCCGGAUUUAUUGGGCGUAAAGAGCUCGUAGGCGGCUUGUUACGUCGGAUGUGAAAACCCAUGGCUCAACUGUGGGCUUGCAUCCGAUACGGGCAGGCUAGAGUUCGGUAGGGGAGACUGGAAUUCCUGGUGUAGCGGUGAAAUGCGCAGAUAUCAGGAGGAACACCGGUGGCGAAGGCGGGUCUCUGGGCAGUAACUGACGCUGAGGAGCGAAAGCGUGGGGAGCGAACAGG